UCAUUAUCUUCUACAGUGAAGCUUCUCGUGUGCCGGCAGGUGGUGGAAUCGGGAUUUGAACUCAGAUUGUCACAGAACAAGAAACUCGCCUAACCAAACAUAAUGGAGGCACCAGAACUCUGCUCACAUUAUUGGGGAGCAUCAGCUCGCCUGCCAUGGGGUGUGAACAGUCAUGCAGAAAAAAAGAAAACAUAAAGGUGGUGAGAGACUCCAAAGGAAAGAGCAAACUGUCUUCAACGGCACUUCUAAGAACUGCUUCCUCCUCAGGUUUGUCUGUGUUCUGGUUUGUAUGUUGCAGGACCAAGAAGAUAAGAAGAAGAGGCUAUCUGUGCAGUGUUGCAACUGGAGUCUUUCAUCUUCAUGAGAAUUUGGGAGGAGAGAGAACACCUUAGAACCCAGAAUAUUCACUGACCAUCUCAGCAGCUCCAAACAACUGUUCACAGAAACUUCCUCUAACCUGGCCAGCAUCCACCUAAACCCAGUUGUUUUAUCUCCCCUCCCCUCACCAACUUCUGGGAUCACUUACAUUUAAAAUAGAUGAUAUUUUACAGUAAUAAAAUAGCUGGCAUUUGAUAGUGGAACAACCAUAUAAUUUAUGGUCUAAACCAUGAUACUUCUGACAGUG